rnacentral:rRNA from 1 species
AGAGUUUGAUCCUGGCUCAGGACGAACGCUGGCGGCGUGCUUAACACAUGCAAGUCGAGGGCGUGGGGCAACUCACGACCGGCGAACGGGUGCGUAACACGUGAGCGACCUGCCUUCCCGCGGGGGAUAGCCGGCCCAACGGCCGGGUAAUACCGCAUACGCUCCUUGGGAUACCUGUCCCAGGGAGGAAACUUCCGGGGCGGGGAGAGGGGCUCGCGGCCUAUCAGCUAGUUGGCGGGGUAAUGGCCCACCAAGGCAGUGACGGGUAGCUGGUCUGAGAGGAUGGCCAGCCACAUUGGGACUGAGAGACGGCCCAGACUCCUACGGGAGGCAGCAGUGGGGAAUCUUGCGCAAUGGGAGCAAUCCUGACGCAGCGACGCCGCGUGGGGGAGGAAGGGCUUCGGCUCGUAAACCCCUGUUGCCCGGGGCGAACCUCUGGUUUCGACCAGACUGACGGUACCGGGUGAGGAAGCACCGGCUAACUCCGUGCCAGCAGCCGCGGUAAUACGGAGGGUGCGAGCGUUGUCCGGAAUCACUGGGCGUAAA